rnacentral:rRNA from 1 species
GAAUAUUGGGCAAUGGAGGAAACUCUGACCCAGCAACGCCGCGUGCGGGAUGAAGGCCUUCGGGUUGUAAACCGCUUUCAGUAGGGAAGAAGCGAAAGUGACGGUACCUACAAAAGAAGCACCGGCUAACUAUGUGCCAGCAGCCGCGGUAAUACAUAGGGUGCAAGCGUUGUCCGGAAUUAUUGGGCGUAAAGAGCUCGUAGGUCGUUUGUUACGUCGGAUGUGAAAACCUGAGGCUCAACCUCAGGCCUGCAUUCGAUACGGGCAAACUAGAGUUUGGUAGGGGAGACUGGAAUUCCUGGUGUAGCGGUGGAAUGCGCAGAUAUCAGGAGGAACACCAAUGGCGAAGGCAGGUCUCUGGGCCAAUACUGACACUGAGGAGCGAAAGUCUGGGGAGCGAACAGGAUUAGAUACCCCGGUAGUC